CUGCCAUCACCAUCACCAUCAUCAUCAUCAUGUGUGUUCCUGAAUGGUGCCUACUUGGGUCCACGCUUGCAGCGGAGAAAAAGGAUAGCUGCACCAACGCGUAUGGCAGAAUGAUAUGCAGGACGGUCGCCCGUAUAGCUCCAAGACAACGAUUCCUGACGACGCGAACUUCUGCCCGAACUUCCACAGCAAACUCUCACUCAUUCCCGCAGGAAGCCCAGCAUGUAGGAGAGAGCCUGGCAGGGUACGUUCUCUAUGGUGAUCUGCAAUCUGCACGAGAGAGACACUUGCUGGGUUGGAACUUGACUUUGACCCUUUGCUGAAGCUAGACCGCUCAGAGGUAGAAGGUCAGAAUUGUGAGGCACGACAAGAACACCAAGACAGCGAAUAAGACAAGCACACAUACACACAAAAGAGAGAGAGAAAGAAAGGAAGCAAAUUCACAAUGGAAAGAUGAUGAUCUUCAGUUGUCAUAGGUCACCCCGGGGCACUGCCGGGAAGAGUCUCGUCAAGGAGGCCUGCUUCCACGCCCCCAGAGCGACGCCGGGCUCUUCGGCACAGGCAAAUAGAGUGGAGAUCUUUGAGCGGCGACGGGGCCUGGCAGGUCAAAAUGGAAAGCCAUUAGGCCUAACAGAGCCACAUCACAAAAGCCACCUCCGCUGCGAAGAAAUCCAGCGGGACUCUGCGCCAGAAACGGGACAGAAAAAGAGGUCUCAUUCCCCAAAUGCAGAAGAAACAUAAAAUUACUGAAAGCAAGGAUAGCCGUUUG